rnacentral:rRNA from 1 species
UGCCUCUAGUAUCUAUUAUUAAAGGUAUAUUCUGCCCGGUGAUUCUUCAACGGCCGCGGUAUCCUGACCGUGCAAAGGUAGCAUAAUAAUUUGCCUUUUAAUUAAAGGCUAGAAUGAAAGAACCUUCCUAGAUAAAGCUGUACCAUAAAUAUUAAUAAAAAUUAAUCUUCAGGUGAAGAAGCCUGUAUAAUUUAAAAAGACAAAAAGACCCUAUCAAGCUUUAUAUUAUUUUAUUUCAUAAAUAUUAUUAUAUUUGGUUGGGGCGACUAUUGAAAAUAAUUAUCUUUCAAAAUUAUUUAGAAAUAUUAUUCUCUUUUAUUAAAAAUUUAAUAUAAAUAAGCUACUGUAGGGAUAACAGGCUAAUAUUUUCCCAGAGUUCAAAUUAAAGAAAAUGAUUGGCACCUCGAUGUUGGCUUAGGGGCCCUUUUUUCUGCAGAAGGAAAAAAAGGAGGUUUGUUCAACCUAUCUUUCCCU